GAUGAACGCUGGCGGCGUGCCUAAUACAUGCAAGUCGAGCGAACAGAUGAGGAGCUUGCUCCUCUGACGUUAGCGGCGGACGGGUGAGUAACACGUGGAUAACCUACCUAUAAGACUGGGAUAACUUCGGGAAACCGGAGCUAAUACCGGAUAAUAUAUUGAACCGCAUGGUUCAAUAGUGAAAGACGGUUUUGCUGUCACUUAUAGAUGGAUCCGCGCCGCAUUAGCUAGUUGGUAAGGUAACGGCUUACCAAGGCAACGAUGCGUAGCCGACCUGAGAGGGUGAUCGGCCACACUGGAACUGAGACACGGUCCAGACUCCUACGGGAGGCAGCAGUAGGGAAUCUUCCGCAAUGGGCGAAAGCCUGACGGAGCAACGCCGCGUGAGUGAUGAAGGUCUUCGGAUCGUAAAACUCUGUUAUUAGGGAAGAACAACUGUGUAAGUAACUAUGCACGUCUUGACGGUACCUAAUCAGAAAGCCACGGCUAACUACGUG
rnacentral:rRNA from 1 species